ACGGACUGUAGUUGAUGGGUUAGCGGAAU
rnacentral:piRNA from 1 species